UGAGGUUAAGUGACUAAGCGUACACGGUGGAUGCCUAGGCAGUCAGAGGCGAUGAAGGGCGUGCUAAUCUGCGAAAAGCGUCGGUAAGGUGAUAUGAACCGUUACAACCGGCGAUACCCGAAUGGGGAAACCCAGUGUGUUUCGACACACUAUCAUGUCAUGAAUACAUAGUGGCAUGAGGCGAACCGGGGGAACUGAAACAUCUAAGUACCCCGAGGAAAAGAAAUCAACCGAGAUUCCCCCAGUAGCGGCGAGCGAACGGGGAGGAGCCCAGAACCUGAAUCGGCUUGUGUGUUAGUGGAAGCGUCUGGAAAGUCGCGCAGCAAAGGGUGAUAGCCCCGUACACUAAAAUGCACAGGUCGUGAGUUCGAUGAGUAGGGCGGGACACGUGACAUCCUGUCUGAAUAUGGGGGGACCAUCCUCCAAGGCUAAAUACUCCUGACUGACCGAUAGUGAACCAGUACCGUGAGGGAAAGGCGAAAAGAACCCCGGCGAGGGGAGUGAAAUAGAACCUGAAACCGUGUACGUACAAGCAGUGGGAGCACCUUCGUGGUGUGACUGCGUACCUUUUGUAUAAUGGGUCAGCGACUUAUAUUUUGUAGCAAGGUUAACCGUAUAGGGGAGCCGUAGGGAAACCGAGUCUUAACUGGGCGAAUAGUUGCAAGGUAUAGACCCGAAACCCGGUGAUCUAGCCAUGGGCAGGUUGAAGGUUGGGUAACACUAACUGGAGGACCGAACCGACUAAUGUUGAAAAAUUAGCGGAUGACUUGUGGCUGGGGGUGAAAGGCCAAUCAAACCGGGAGAUAGCUGGUUCUCCCCGAAAGCUAUUUAGGUAGCGCCUCGUGAACUCAUCUUCGGGGGUAGAGCACUGUUUCGGCUAGGGGGCCAUCCCGGCUUACCAAACCGAUGCAAACUCCGAAUACCGAAGAAUGUUAUCACGGGAGACACACGGCGGGUGCUAACGUCCGUCGUGAAGAGGGAAACAACCCAGACCGCCAGCUAAGGUCCCAAAGUCAUGGUUAAGUGGGAAACGAUGUGGGAAGGCAUAGACAGCCAGGAUGUUGGCUUAGAAGCAGCCAUCAUUUAAAGAAAGCGUAAUAGCUCACUGGUCGAGUCGGCCUGCGCGGAAGAUGUAACGGGGCUAAACCAUGCACCGAAGCUGCGGCAGCGACGCUUAGGCGUUGUUGGGUAGGGGAGCGUUCUGUAAGCCGUUGAAGGUGGCCUGUGAGGGUUGCUGGAGGUAUCAGAAGUGCGAAUGCUGACAUAAGUAACGAUAAAGCGGGUGAAAAGCCCGCUCGCCGGAAGACCAAGGGUUCCUGUCCAACGUUAAUCGGGGCAGGGUGAGUCGACCCCUAAGGCGAGGCUGAAAAGCGUAGUCGAUGGGAAACAGGUUAAUAUUCCUGUACUUGGUGUUACUGCGAAGGGGGGACGGAGAAGGCUAGGCUAGCCGGGCGACGGUUGUCUCGGUUUAAGCGUGUAGGGGGUGUGACCUGGUAAAUCCGGUUACAUACUAACCCUGAGGCGUGAUGACGAUGCACUACGGUGCAGAAGUAGUUGAUGCCCUGCUUCCAGGAAAAGCCUCUAAGCUCUAGGUAACAUUAAAUCGUACCCCAAACCGACACAGGUGGUCAGGUAGAGAAUACCAAGGCGCUUGAGAGAACUCGGGUGAAGGAACUAGGCAAAAUGGUGCCGUAACUUCGGGAGAAGGCACGCUGGCAUGUAGGUGAAGUCCUUCGCGGAUGGAGCUGAAGCCAGUCGAAGAUACCAGCUGGCUGCAACUGUUUAAUAAAAACACAGCACUGUGCAAACACGAAAGUGGACGUAUACGGUGUGACGCCUGCCCGGUGCUGGAAGGUUAAUUGAUGGGGUCAGCCGCAAGGCGAAGCUCUUGAUCGAAGCCCCAGUAAACGGCGGCCGUAACUAUAACGGUCCUAAGGUAGCGAAAUUCCUUGUCGGGUAAGUUCCGACCUGCACGAAUGGCGUAAUGAUGGCCAGGCUGUCUCCACCCGAGACUCAGUGAAAUUGAACUCGCUGUGAAGAUGCAGUGUACCCGCGGCAAGACGGAAAGACCCCGUGAACCUUUACUAUAGCUUGACACUGAACAUUGAGCCUUGAUGUGUAGGAUAGGUGGGAGGCUUUGAAGCGUGGACGCCAGUCUGCGUGGAGCCAUCCUUGAAAUACCACCCUUUAAUGUUUGAUGUUCUAACUCGGCCCCAUAAUCUGGGGUGAGGACAGUGUCUGGUGGGUAGUUUGACUGGGGCGGUCUCCUCCCAAAGAGUAACGGAGGAGCACGAAGGUUAGCUAAUCACGGUCGGACAUCGUGAGGUUAGUGCAAAGGCAUAAGCUAGCUUGACUGCGAGAGUGACGGCUCGAGCAGGUACGAAAGUAGGUCUUAGUGAUCCGGUGGUUCUGAAUGGAAGGGCCAUCGCUCAACGGAUAAAAGGUACUCCGGGGAUAACAGGCUGAUACCGCCCAAGAGUUCAUAUCGACGGCGGUGUUUGGCACCUCGAUGUCGGCUCAUCACAUCCUGGGGCUGAAGUAGGUCCCAAGGGUAUGGCUGUUCGCCAUUUAAAGUGGUACGCGAGCUGGGUUUAGAACGUCGUGAGACAGUUCGGUCCCUAUCUGCCGUGGGCGUUGGAAGAUUGAGAGGGGUUGCUCCUAGUACGAGAGGACCGGAGUGAACGCACCACUGGUGUUCGGGUUGUCAUGCCAAUGGCAUUGCCCGGUAGCUAAGUGCGGAAAAGAUAAGCGCUGAAAGCAUCUAAGCGCGAAACUUGCCUCAAGAUGAGUCUUCCCUGGGCCUUUAAGGCCCCUGAAGGAACGUUUAAGACUAAGACGUUGAUAGGCUGGGUGUGUAAGUGCAGCGAUGCAUUGAGCUAACCAGUACUAAUGAUCCGUGAGGCUUAACCUU
rnacentral:rRNA from 1 species